rnacentral:rRNA from 1 species
UACAGAGGGUGCUAGCGUUGUUCGGAGUCAUUGGGCGUAAAGGGCGUGUAGGCGGUCAGGUAAGUGGGACGUGAAAUGCCUCGGCUCACCCGAGGAGCGGCGUCCCAUACUGCUUGGCUUGAGUACGGGAGAGGAUGUGGGAAUUCCUGGUGUAGCGGUGAAAUGCGUAGAUAUCAGGAGGAACACCGGUGGCGAAGGCGCACAUCUGGCCCGAUACUGACGCUGAGGCGCGAAAGCUAGGGGAGCAAACGGG